GGUAGGAUGGCCGAAAGUUUAGGCGGAAGGCUGUAGAUCUUCAGAUGGGGGUUUAAUUCCCUCUGUUACCA
rnacentral:tRNA from 1 species